GAUGAACGCUGUGGCGUGCCUAAUACAUGCAAGUCGAGCGAACAGAUAAGGAGCUUGCUCCUUUGACGUUAGCGGCGGACGGGUGAGUAACACGUGGGUAACCUACCUAUAAGACUGGGAUAACUUCGGGAAACCGGAGCUAAUACCGGAUAACAUUUGGAACCGCAUGGUUCUAAAGAGAAAGAUGGUUUUGCUAUCACUUAUAGAUGGACCCGCGCCGUAUUAGCUAGUUGGUAAGGUAACGGCUUACCAAGGCAACGAUACGUAGCCGACCUGAGAGGGUGAUCGGCCACACUGGAACUGAGACACGGUCCAGACUCCUACGGGAGGCAGCAGUAGGGAAUCUUCCGCAAUGGGCGAAAGCCUGACGGAGCAACGCCGCGUGAGUGAUGAAGGGUUUCGGCUCGUAAAACUCUGUUAUUAGGGAAGAACAAAUGUGUAAGUAACUGUGCACGUCUUGACGGUACCUAAUCAGAAAGCCACGGCUAACUACGUG
rnacentral:rRNA from 1 species